UACGGAGGGUGCAAGCGUUAUCCGGAUUCACUGGGUUUAAAGGGUGCGUAGGCGGGCAGGUAAGUCAGUGGUGAAAUCUCCGGGCUUAACCCGGAAACUGCCGUUGAUACUAUCUGUCUUGAAUAUCGUGGAGGUAAGCGGAAUAUGUCAUGUAGCGGUGAAAUGCUUAGAUAUGACAUAGAACACCGAUUGCGAAGGCAGCUUACUAAACGAUCAUUGACGCUGAGGCACGAAAGCGUGGGGAGCAAACAGG
rnacentral:rRNA from 1 species